AAUAUACUCCCUCCGUCCGGAAAAGCUUGUCCCAAACAUGUCUAUCAAAUGGAUGUAUUUAGCACUAACCUGGUGCUAGAUACAUUCAUUUGAGGGACAAGUUUUUUCUGGACGAAGGGAGUAGGUA
rfam:Triticum aestivum genome assembly, contig: Triticum_aestivum_CS42_TGACv1_scaffold_021761_1AS